GACGAAGGGGACUAGCGUUGUUCGGAAUUACUGGGCGUAAAGCGCACGUAGGCGGAUUGCUAAGUCAGGGGUGAAAUCCCGGGGCUCAACCUCGGAACUGCCUUUGAUACUGACAAUCUCGAGUCCGAUAGAGGUGGGUGGAAUUCCUAGUGUAGAGGUGAAAUUCGUAGAUAUUAGGAAGAACACCGGUGGCGAAGGCGGCCCACUGGAUCGGUACUGACGCUGGAGGUGCGAAAGCGUGGGGAGCAAACAGG
rnacentral:rRNA from 1 species